CACGUAGGGCGCAAGCGUUGUCCGGAAUUAUUGGGCGUAAAGAGCUCGUAGGUGGUCUGUUGCGUCCGCUGUGAAAACCCGAGGCUCAACCUCGGGCCUGCAGUGGGUACGGGCAGACUAGAGUGCGGUAGGGGAGAUUGGAAUUCCUGGUGUAGCGGUGGAAUGCGCAGAUAUCAGGAGGAACACCAAUGGCGAAGGCAGAUCUCUGGGCCGUAACUGACGCUGAGGAGCGAAAGCAUGGGGAGCGAACAGG
rnacentral:rRNA from 1 species